CGUUCCCGGGCCUUGUACACACCGCCCGUCACGACCACGAAAGUCGGUAACACCCGAAGCCAGUGGCCUAACCCGUUUGGGAAGGAGCUGUCGAAGGUGGGAUCGGCGAUUGGGGUG
rnacentral:rRNA from 1 species